ACUUAUGUUUCUUUCCUGUCUUAGCUAGAAGAGUCUUUGGAGUUACAGGUAACUGUUUCCUCUGAGAUGUUACGUGAAACUGGAGGCCAGAGGGUAUUUAUGGCAGCAAGUAAUAAUUCUCUUCUCUUCUCCAGGCUAAAGGGUCCCCCAAGCCAGCAGUUGUUGAGGCAGUUACUACAGCAGGGUCGCAGGACAUACAAGUGCUGGUGGAUGAGGUAACCAAACAGGGAAACAUAGUUCGGGAACUGAAAGCACAGAAGGCAGACAAGAACCAGGUUGCUGCAGAAGUGGCUAAACUCUUGGAUCUAAAGAAACAGUUGGCUUUGGCUGAGGGGAAGCCCAUUGAAACUCCGAAAGGCAAGAAGAAAAAGUGAGAGAAUGUUCACACAAAGUCACUUUACUGGGUAUGGACAGUAAUAAAGAAUGUACAGUG
rnacentral:lncRNA from 1 species